UACGUAGGGUGCAAGCGUUAAUCGGAAUACUGGGCGUAAAGCGUGCGCAGGCGGUGAUGUAAGACAGAUGUGAAAUCCCCGGGCUCAACCUGGGAACUGCAUUUGUGACUACAUCGCUGGAGUGCGGCAGAGGGGGAUGGAAUUCCGCGUGUAGCAGUGAAAUGCGUAGAUAUGCGGAGGAACACCGAUGGCGAAGGCAAUCCCCUGGGCCUGCACUGACGCUCAUGCACGAAAGCGUGGGGAGCAAACAGG
rnacentral:rRNA from 1 species